GGAGAAUUAGCUCAGUUGGGAGAGCAUCGCCCUUACAAGGCGCGAGGUCGUGGGUUCGAGCCCCUCAUUCUCCACCA
rnacentral:tRNA from 1 species